CGGCGAUGUCUGAUUAGCUAGUUGGUGAGGUAAAGGCUUACCAAGGCGUCGAUCAGUAGCUGGUCUGAGAGGACGACCAGCCACACUGGGACUGAGACACGGCCCAGACUCCUACGGGAGGCAGCAGUGGGGAAUUUUGGACAAUGGGGGAAACCCUGAUCCAGCCAUGCCGCGUGAGUGAAGAAGGCCUUCGGGUUGUAAAGCUCUUUCAGCCGGAACGAAACGGUCACGGUUAAUACCUGUGACUACUGACGGUACCGGAAGAAGAAGCACCGGCUAACUACGUGCCAGCAGCCGCGGUAAUACGUAGGGUGCGAGCGUUAAUCGGAAUUACUGGGCGUAAAGCGUGCGCAGGCGGUUUUGUAAGUCAGAUGUGAAAUCCCCGGGCUUAACCUGGGAACUGCGUUUGAAACUACAAAGCUAGAC
rnacentral:rRNA from 1 species